GCAUUGAAACACCCGUUCUCGUCGGAUCACCGGCGUUAAAUAAUGUUGAGCCUGGUAAGUACGUAGAUGGUUGAACGCUGGGAAACACAAGGUGCUGUAAG